AUUCGCAUAUACGGUGCACAAACCGUUGCUCGACGACGGGCCACUCAUUCGCGUAACGACUGUCUAACGCUGCAGAUGUGGCAACGGUUUGUGUACCGUACCGUAGUUAGUAAACCGUAAACUUGAUUGCCUCAAAAUCGUGUUUUAGCACUCGUUUUGUGUGAACUUUGCUUUCGUCAAUUUUUCACACACACACACACACACACAUACAUACAUACAUACACACUCACAUAGGCAAAUACGCUGGUGUUGACUCUGCCAUAUACUGCGAUGAUCUUGCAGUUUUCAGCUUUCUCGGUCGUCACUAUUCGCAUUCCGCUGUUAUUGCGACAUAGUUUUCGUAAAUACACGUAACGGUACACACACGUAAAUUCCGCAAAUCCCGCUAGACAAGUAUAAAUGUAGCAACACAAACCAAAGAGACAACAAAAGAGACAAGAUUCACACACGUAGCGCAAUAUUGACAAGAAAAGCUGUCGCAUUAUAUGAACACAACAGUUAUAGACUGCAUGUUUACACUCUAGCAACAACUGACUCUCUGCUAUCACUUAACAAAAUACAAAGUGUGAAAAGGUUUUAAAAACACGUUUGAAAAUUACUAAAAAAUUAAAAAAAAAAAUAAAAAUUUUGCUCCAAAAAUGAAAAAAAAAAUGUGCGCGUACCAGACACAGACAGCAAAUGCAGUAGACUAUCUAUCCAAGACGCUAAUCGACAACAAAAUCAAAUGUAUGUGCAUAUAUAAACAAGUCAAUAUGUCAAUGCAUACACAUACAUUUCAAAAACAUACUGUAAUCAAAAUGAGCUGAUCUUCAACAUAGCGCCAGGUAACCCAUAUAAGUGAUCGCACAUAUAUGUACAUAUGAACCACACACAUAUAUACGCAUACAAACAAACAAACCUAAUAUGUAUAUGUAUAGUUGAAGUGAUUUCCAUUUAACCUCCGCUGUGCUAAGUUCAUUCGCGUAAGUGUAGUGUCGCGUAUACGCCCGUCUGUCGUCAUUGUACAACUACUAACUAGUGCACCGUCGCAGAUCGACAACGCAGCGCAGCUAGACAGCAAUUAUAAAAGACUACGGUAAUAAUGUUGAAAACGCAAUUUAGCAAACAAAAAAACAACAACAAAAAACAAAUACACGCAGAGUAAUGAAAUUACUAAGUUGAAGGCAGAAGAAAGGGACUAGUAGAAGAGGAAAUUUGUAAAUCAAACACAGCGUACAGACUUUCAUUAAAUUAAGUUCUGCCCAUACGUCGAAUUCUAAUGCAAAUCUAAGCAAACUUCCUUAUAUAGUCUAUACAUGCAGUAUUCAAAAGAUUGGCAACCAUUCACCAUAUCUUGAAGCGGUUAACAAAUUUACCAUCCAAAUACUGCUGCUUUUGAAAUACAAGUGACAAAAUGCUGAACUCGCCGUACAAAACUGAUACAAUCUAAAUAAUGGGAACUUAUUUAAAACUGGAUGGCAGAGUGCAUCAUAUCUAUCCACUGUAUAAGGUUGACAUUUUUACUGAUUACCAUAUUGGUUAACAACGAUUAUAAAUAAACAAUGGAUACUGCAACUCGCUUUCAUCAGCGGCCAUGGACAAUAUUUCAUCGGAAUGACACAAUCUGCUAAUGGAUAUUUGAUAAGGAUCGAUGGAUGCUUUUAUAUUUCUCCUUUUUCCAACAACAAAUACAGUGAGAGCUAUGGUUCAGUUCCACUUGCACUUGCAAGCCUGAAUUUGGUAAAUUAGUAUUUAAUAGUCGCCAGGUAUAGUAUGUACGUAUGUAUGUGCCAGCUGUGCCAACGUAUAUGGAUAUUUACAUAUGUAUAUACAUAUAUGUAAUUGAACCGUUACCUUGUUAAUUAGCGUAAAAAGAUCAACACGUAAUGGUCCGGUGCGACCGGAUGAGGGUCCUCAACGACCGUUUUCAAAUAUUUACGGGUCGGUGGGACUUUCGUCCGUUUGUAAGGCCAUGUGUCAGCAGGAAAUACUUAUGCUUCCUUUUUUCAAGUGAAAAGCGAAUUUGGUAAAACUAAUUUAAUAUCAUUCAUAACUUCUAUUCUACUUAAAAUAAUAAAUGCACAAUGGUAUUAUAUUUUAGCCCGAGUCUUCAGAUGUCAGACCAGUUUAACUAUUGUGGAAUCAAGCAAAUACUAAAACGUUUUUUCCAUGACUCAAAGGACAUGUCGGACAAUGUUACAUCGCUAGUGCUGCCUAACUGGUAUUCUUUGCACGAUUCGCUCGACCGACAAAAAACCACGUCAUGAGAAUUAUCCGAAAGGUCCGGUCUGCUGGUGCGCCUGACAUUUGUAAUCGGCAACGUACACUCUUUCAACGUUCAAACACGAAUAUACAUCUAUACCAGAUGAUGUUUCGAGUGCAGUGAAGCCUACUAAUGAAGAUCUAAGUAGGAAUGAACUCUUGCAGCAGUGUAUUGGUGGUUUUAGACGAAAUAACGGAGAACUAGUUAAACUAGAAAAUUACCCUAUCAGUACUUAAAGCUGGCUCUAUUUUUAAUAAAGGAACAUCAGCUUUAUGAUUAACUAUGAAAAGCUGACGAAAUCCGUAUCUGCGCCGCCGAGAGAAAAUCUGCAAAUGAGACUCAUGAGGCUGGAAUUCGUCAUAGAUAAGAACUUUACUUUAAGGCCCAGGAAUCGAAGGCUGUCCAUGGAUCUUUAUGAAAUUUUAGAUACAUAUGUCUUCCGGAUAAAAUAAAUAUGGAUCUGGAAAGAAUUUUUUUCAAUUACAACUAUUAAUUCUACAAUUUUUCCUCCAAUUCUAUAAUUUUUCCUUCGUCCAAGUUGUAGUUCAAAGCCACGGUGCGCCUUUUUUCGCGAGGGAUCGUCAGAAAUAAUCACAAUGGUAAUAAUCUUAACUUUAAGACAAAAAAAGGUUCGUACUAAAUACUAAGUUGCGUUGCUUUAGUUAAAAUGGAAAAGAGCAAAUCAUUAAUUAGUAAUAAACAUGUCAAAUAUAUAAAUACAAUUCAACUUCCAUAACUCGAAGGUCUCUAUAACUCGAACUCUUGUAUUGGCAAUAGAAGUGAAAAUUCAUACAAAUUUCCUUCUAUACCUGGGAAGUCUCUCUAACUCAAAGAUUUAUUGUGGAUUAUAGUGAUUCGAUAGUGAUAACCAUAUUUUCAUCUGCAGCAGAUAUUGCCAACCUGCGGGAUUGAAGAGAAUUGAAAGAGCUGUAAUUGAAGGUAUACAAUGUAUUUCAGUAAAUAAUUGGUUGAACUUUAAUUUUAACUAUAGUUUGUUGUAGUUUCAGUUACCCCCAGAGAUAGAAGAUGUGGAUAAUUCAACAGAAACGAAAUGCUGAAUCAUAAGCUACUCAUAUAUACUAUAUACACGCCGAUAACCGAUACUGUAUCACAAUCAUCGAGUAAUUCCCGAGUCGGUCAGAGACGAUUCUCAUACCCGAAAUGAUAGUACCAAACAUCGCCAAAGCUCUUAUUCCAAAUUCUACUCGAAGAUUUCAGGUUACAGUUACAGCAACGAUGGUCAAUAUAGCAUAUUGUUGAACGCUAUGUUCGUGAAAAUAGCUUCGCAAAUAAAAAGAAAACUAUUCAUAUAUCAAAUAUCAACAUAUCAAAUAUUUAAAAUAUCUUUUAUAAUAUUGUUUUAUUUAUAUAUUUAAGUUUUUUAUUUUUAUAUUAAAAUUUAUGGAAGUUUGGAAAAGAGCUUUUAACUAAGAUUGAAAAAUAUUCUGCAAUGCAAUAAUUCGUGAAAAAAAAACUUCUACUGAGUUGAUUUUCGAUUAUAUACAUAUAAUAUAUAGUAUAUAGGGGCUGGGGUAAUUCCUGGACCGAUUUCUGCCAUUUUCCCCGCCAAACUACAUUAUUAACAAGAUUAUCCGUUCAUUUAAUUUAUUUUAAGGUAUCUCACAUAUUAACAGUAUAAUGAAACCCGGAAGUUUGCAAAUCAUACAAUUAGGUAUGUGGGAGACAGGAGAAAUAAUUUUUUAUCGAUUUACCCAUUUUUUUACCGAUUUUAUGACUGUUAAUUAUUAAAUGAAAAAUAUUCCCUUUGGAUUUCUAUAAAAUACCUGAGAGAUUUCCGAUAUUUUCGGUAUUUUCUAGGGGCUUAGAAGAGUUAUAUACCGAUCUCGACCAUUUUAUGUUGAGCGAUGCCAUAUCUUAAAUGCAGUACUUUGCAAUGUACAUUUCUGAUAUCAUCACUGAUGCUUGUUUUGUAUUUUGGAAUGUGAACGAGUCACAUGGAAUUGUAAUAUUGGAAGUAGGCAUGGUUGUGAACCGAUUUCGCCCAUUUUUCACCAAUUUCUUAAAAACUAAUCGAAUAAUAAAAUUCAGAGAGCGUCCUCUCCUGAUAACAAUGUGCUCUGAUGCUCAAAGUUAAUAAGUCGGGUCAAUUAGUCCUCUAACUCUCAUUUAUCUAAAAUACAAAUUUUCAAAAUGGCCUUGAACUGUAUAGUAUAUCGAUUAACUUAAGGAGAUUUGCUUUAAAAAACUAUAUUUUUUUGGAAUGUAACACCUACUGCAAGAGGAAUUAAGAGUUAUAUAAUCUAUAUGAAUAUGAUUGCAAACCAAUCACUGUUUCGUCGAAUAACGAAUGUUAAAUUCAUAUGCAAAAAAAUUUGCGAGAGAAUAAAAUAAAAAGCUUAUUAUUUUCAUUCUUGUAUCUUUCCUUAUUUCUAAGCUUACAAAAACAAUGUACAAAAUUAAUUAAAAAGAAAAUAAUUAUCUUUAUUAUGACAUGAUUUUUUUUUGAAAAUUUCUUAAUUAAAAUUUUAUUGUUGUUUAUAGAUUAUUUUUGUGGCUGCAUAAUAUAAAUUGGCACUCCCAGUACAUACUUGUAGGUGUACGUGUACAUAUGUACAUAUAUCAAAAGGUCGAGACAAGUCGAUUAUUUAUAUGUAACGUACGUCGCCUGUACGUGUGACUAAUGGUAUAACUUAGGAAAAUAUUUCAUCAUCUUCAAUAAACUUGACAAUGACAAUAACACGACAAGACGAAAUAUCUGCUGUCAUCAAACAAACUGUCAGCGCAUACGCGUCUUGGCUCCCACGUUACUGUUGACAGUCAUAACUUUGAUGCUCCAGAUAAUCUUGUCUACCUCGGAACCAGCAUCAACAACACCAACAAUGUCAGCUUAGAAAUAAAAUGCAGGGUCACUCUUGCCAACAGAUUCUUUUGGACUUUGGACUUAGUAGGCAAUUGAAAGGCAAAGUACUCUCUCGACGAACCAAAACGAAACUCUACAAGUCGCUCAUUGUUCCCGUUCUGCUUUAUGCUGCAGAAGUGUGGACGUUGUCAACAUCCGAUGAGACGACACUAGGAGUUUCUGAGACAAAGGUUUUACGGAAGAUUUAUGGUCCUUAACAUUGGCAACGGCGAAUACCGCAGAUGAUGCAACGAUGAGCUAUACGAGUUAUACGACGACAUAGACAUAGUUCAGCGAAUAAAAAGAUAGCGGCUCCGUUGGCUAGCGCAUGUUGUUCGAAUGGACGUACAACACUCCAGCUCUGAAAAGGGUCGAUGAAUAGUACCCGAGAGGAAGAGCGAGGCCUCCACUCCGUUGGAAAGACCAGAUGGAGAAGGACCUGGUAGCACUUGGGAUCUCCAACUGGCGCCAAACUGCCAAAAGAAGGAACGAAUGAACCAACAACCUAUAAUCUAUAUACAUAUACAUAUACCAUAUGUAAUAAAACUCAUUCAUAUUGGCUUCAAUAUUUUUAUUGCUCAAAUUGCUUACAUUUGUAUUUUAAUAAAUUUCUAAUAUUCAUGUGAAAACAAAUGAUUUAUAACAAGUACUUAUAAAUAUUUUAAUAAGUUUUAAAGUAUAAAGGCAUUCAUAGACACUCGAGUUCAUGCAUACUCUUGGCUUACAUUUGAGUAAUCCGAUUACUGCACUGCAGAUCAAACUAGCUCAUUGCCUUUUUCUCUUUCGAUUGUUUGUAAGUGUUUGGAACAUUUACAUUUAUAAAUAAAGCGAAAACAAUAAAAUAUUUUUACUAUUGACUAGUUAAAAUUUGUUUCAUUCAUUAUAGUUUUUACAGAACGAUGCACUUAAAAUUCGUAGUUUGAAAUAUUUUUGAGAUAGUUAACAUAAACUUAUGCAUUUUGACUCUUCAACUCUUCAACGCUUUGUCAUAUACUCGUAUACGUACAUUUAAACAUAAAUAUUUAUAUAAUAUAAUAGUUAGUUAGUUGGUUGAUUAAAUUUCACUAUUGCACACUGGUUGUACUUAAACUAAGUUGUAAUUGUUCUUGGCGUUAUUUUUGCAGCCUAAGCACUUUCUAACUAAGCUCACAUUCACAUUCCAUAUAUUUUGCGCUGAUACUACAUCAACAGCCGACUUGAUUUAUCGCAUUUAAUGAUCAUACUCC